UGCAAGUCGAGCGAACGGACGAGAAGCUUGCUUCUCUGAUGUUAGCGGCGGACGGGUGAGUAACACGUGGAUAACCUACCUAUAAGACUGGGAUAACUUCGGGAAACCGGAGCUAAUACCGGAUAAUAUUUUGAACCGCAUGGUUCAAAAGUGAAAGACGGUCUUGCUGUCACUUAUAGAUGGAUCCGCGCUGCAUUAGCUAGUUGGUAAGGUAACGGCUUACCAAGGCAACGAUGCAUAGCCGACCUGAGAGGGUGAUCGGCCACACUGGAACUGAGACACGGUCCAGACUCCUACGGGAGGCAGCAGUAGGGAAUCUUCCGCAAUGGGCGAAAGCCUGACGGAGCAACGCCGCGUGAGUGAUGAAGGUCUUCGGAUCGUAAAACUCUGUUAUUAGGGAAGAACAUAUGUGUAAGUAACUGUGCACAUCUUGACGGUACCUAAUCAGAAAGCCACGGCUAACUACGUGCCAGCAGCCGCGGUAAUACGUAGGUGGCAAGCGUUAUCCGGAAUUAUUGGGCGUAAAGCGCGCGUAGGCGGUUUUUUAAGUCUGAUGUGAAAGCCCACGGCUCAACCGUGGAGGGUCAUUGGAAACUGGAAAACUUGAGUGCAGAAGAGGAAAGUGGAAUUCCAUGUGUAGCGGUGAAAUGCGCAGAGAUAUGGAGGAACACCAGUGGCGAAGGCGACUUUCUGGUCUGUAACUGACGCUGAUGUGCGAAA
rnacentral:rRNA from 1 species